rnacentral:rRNA from 1 species
AGUGAACGCUGGCGGUAGGCCUAACACAUGCAAGUCGAACGGCAGCACAGGAGAGCUUGCUCUCUGGGUGGCGAGUGGCGGACGGGUGAGGAAUACAUCGGAAUCUGCCCAGUCGUGGGGGAUAACGUAGGGAAACUUACGCUAAUACCGCAUACGACCUUCGGGUGAAAGAGGGGGAUCGCAAGCCCUCUCGCGAUUGGAUGAGCCGAUGUCGGAUUAGCUAGUUGGCGGGGUAAUGGCCCACCAAGGCGACGAUCCGUAGCUGGUCUGAGAGGAUGAUCAGCCACACUGGAACUGAGACACGGUCCAGACUCCUACGGGAGGCAGCAGUGGGGAAUAUUGGACAAUGGGCGCAAGCCUGAUCCAGCCAUACCGCGUGGGUGAAGAAGGCCUCCGGGUUGUAAAGCCCUUUUGUUGGGAAAGAAAUCUUUCAGGCUAAUACCCUGGGAGGAUGACGGUACCCAAAGAAUAAGCACCGGCUAACUUCGUG